UUAGAUGAGGGGUGAUAACGAGUCUGCUUGCAGACGAAGUGAGUGAUACCCUGCUUCCAGGAAAAGCCACUAAGCUUCAGCUACACACGACCGUACCGCAAACCGACACUGGUGCGCGAGAUGAGUAUUCUAAGGCGCUUGAGAGAACUCAGGAGAAGGAACUCGGCAAAUUGACACCGUAACUUCGGAAGAAGGUGUGCCUUUAGUAGGUGAAGGGAUUUACUCCUGGAGCCCAAUGAGGUUGCAAAAAAUCGGUGGCUGCGACUGUUUAAUAAAAACACAGCACUCUGCAAACACGAAAGUGGACGUAUAGGGUGUGACGCCUGCCCGGUGCUGGAAGAUUAAAUGAUGGGGUGCAAGCUCUUGAUUGAAGUCCCAGUAAACGGCGGCCGUAACAAUAACGGUCCUAAGGUAGCGAAAUUCCUUGUCGGGUAAGUUCCGACCUGCACGAAUGGCGUAACGAUGGCCACACUGUCUCCUCCUGAGACUCAGCGAAGUUGAAAUGUUUGUGAUGAUGCAAUCUCCCCGCGGAAAGACGGAAAGACCCCAUGAACCUUUACUGUAGCUUUGUAUUGGACUUUGAACAGAUCUGUGUAGGAUAGGUGGGAGGCUUUGAAGCAGGGUCGCUAGAUCUUGUGGAGCCAACGUUGAAAUACCACCCUGGUGUGUUUGAGGUUCUAACCUAGGUCCAUUAUCUGGAUCGGGGACAGUGCAUGGUAGGCAGUUUGACUGGGGCGGUCUCCUCCCAAAGUGUAACGGAGGAGUUCGAAGGUACGCUAGGUACGGUCGGACAUCGUGCUAAUAGUGCAAUGGCAUAAGCGUGCUUAACUGCGAGACUGACAAGUCGAGCAGAUGCGAAAGCAGGACAUAGUGAUCCGGUGGUUCUGUAUGGAAGGGCCAUCGCUCAACGGAUAAAAGGUACUCUGGGGAUAACAGGCUGAUACCGCCCAAGAGUUCAUAUCGACGGCGGUGUUUGGCACCUCGAUGUCGGCUCAUCUCAUCCUGGGGCUGUAGCCGGUCCCAAGGGUAUGGCUGUUCGCCAUUUAAAGAGGUACGUGAGCUGGGUUUAAAACGUCGUGAGACAGUUUGGUCCCUAUCUUCCGUGGGCGCUGCAGAUUUGAGGAAGCCUGCUCCUAGUACGAGAGGACCGGAGUGGACGCACCUCUGGUGUAUCGGUUGUCACGCCAGUGGCAUUGCCGAGUAGCUAAGUGUGGAAGAGAUAACCGCUGAAAGCAUCUAAGCGGGAAACUCGUUUCAAGAUGAGAUCUGCCGGGGCCUUGAGCCCCCUAAAGAGUCGUUCAAGACCAGGACGUUGAUAGGUCAGGUGUGGAAGCGCAGUAAUGCGUUAAGCUAACUGAUACUAAUUGCUCGUGCGGCUUGACCA
rnacentral:rRNA from 1 species